AUGCAAGACGAGUAUGAUGCUUUGCAGGCCAACCGCACUUGGACUCUUGUGCCUCGACCUCGCGGUGCUAACAUCGUCACCGGCAAAUGGGUAUUUCGGCAUAAACUCAAACCAGAUGGCUCCUUGGAUCGCUACAUAGCACGUUGGGUUGUUCGAGGAUUCACACAACGUGCUGGCAUAGACUUUGGUGAGACUUUUAGUCCUGUUGUUAAACCUGCCACGGUUCGCAUGGUCUUGCAUCUUGCCGCCUCUCGCCACUGGCCGGUACAUCAGUUGGACGUAUCCAAUGCUUUUCUUCAUGGACUUCUACAUGAGCGUGUCUACUGUGCUCAACCUACGGGGUUCAUUGGUGCCGCCAACCCUGAGCAUGUUUGCCUGCUGUCCAAAUCACUUUAUGGGCUCAAACGGCUCCUCGCGCUUGGUACACGCGCA
rnacentral:rRNA from 1 species